rnacentral:lncRNA from 1 species
UCGACCUUACCCUGGCCUAGAUGACACCCGUGAGUGGGGAGGGAAUGAUCAUUUUAACAGGUACAGUUGGUGAUUGUUGGUGACUGAUGGUGACUGUUGGUGACUCAGUGUGUUCCUGUUGGUGACUCAGUUCCUCAGAUUGGGUUCAGACGACAGUUGACCAGUUGACUUUGGGUUUCAGAUGAUUGUGAUCAGAAUUCAAGCCGAAGUUUUGAGCCUGUGUUCAGAGAUGCACAGCUUGCCAGUCGUGUCUGCAUCAUGUGCAUCAUAGCAUGUUUAUUUUUCAAAAGAAAUGCAAUGAAAAAAAAUUAUAAAAAAAAAAAAAUGAAAAAAAAAAGAAAAAAGGAAGAAACUAAUCCUUG